rnacentral:rRNA from 1 species
CCUACGGGAGGCAGCAGUGGGGAAUAUUGCACAAUGGGGGAAACCCUGAUGCAGCGACGCCGCGUGAGUGAAGAAGUAUUUCGGUAUGUAAAGCUCUAUCAGCAGGGAAGAAAAUGACGGUACCUGACUAAGAAGCCCCGGCUAACUACGUGCCAGCAGCCGCGGUAAUACGUAGGGGGCAAGCGUUAUCCGGAUUUACUGGGUGUAAAGGGAGCGUAGACGGUGAUGCAAGUCAGAAGUGAAAGCCCGGGGCUCAACUCCGGGACUGCUUUUGAAACUGUGUGACUGGAGUGCAGGAGAGGUAAGCGGAAUUCCUGGUGUAGCGGUGAAAUGCGUAGAGAUCAGGAGGAACACCAGUGGCGAAAGCGGCUCUCUGGUCUGUAACUGACGCUGAGGUUCGAAAGCGUGGGUAGCAAACAGGAUUAGAUACCCGGGUAGUC